GAUUUCUGGUAGAGUGUUUUGGGUCUUCUAGAUAUUAUAGAAUCAUAUCGUCUGCAGAUAGUGAUAAUUUGAGUUCUUCUUUUCCUAUCUGUAUCCCUUUAAUUUCUUUCAUCUGAUUGCUCUGGCUAGAGUUUGAAGAAAUAGGUUAAAUAGAAGUGGUGAAAGAGGGUAUACCUGUCUUGUUCCAGUUUUUAGAGGGAAUGCUUUCGAUUUUUCUCCAUUUAGAAUGAUGUUGGCCUGGGGCUUAGCAUAGAUAGUCUUUAUAAUGUUGAGGUAUGUUCCUGAUAUCCCUAGUUUUUCUAGCAUUUUUGAACAUGAAGAGAUCCUGUAUUUUAUCAAAUGCUUUUUCUGCAUAUAUUGAGAUGAUCAUAUGAUUUUUAUCUUUGAGUCUAUUGAUGUGAUUAAUUACAUUGAUUUCUGUAUGUUGAACCAAGCUUGCAUCCCUGAGAUGAACCCUACUUGAUCAGAGUGCACUAUCUUUUUGAUAUGUUUUUGUAUUUGAUUUGCCAGAAUUUUAUUGCAUCUACAUUCAUUAGAGGUAUUGGUCUGAGGUAGUUCUUUGAUGCGUCUUUGCCUGGAUUUAGAAACCCAGUGAUAUUGGCCUC
rnacentral:lncRNA from 1 species